UACGAAGGGUGCAAGCGUUACUCGGAAUUACUGGGCGUAAAGCGUGCGUAGGCGGUUUGUUAAGUCCGUUGUGAAAGCCCUGGGCUCAACCUGGGAAUUGCAGUGGAUACUGGCGAGCUAGAGUGCGGUAGAGGAUGGUGGAAUUCCCGGUGUAGCGGUGAAAUGCGUAGAUAUUGGGAGGAACACCAGUGGCGAAGGCGGUCCCCUGGGCCGGAACUGACGCUGAGGCGCGAAAGCGUGGGUAGCAAACGGG
rnacentral:rRNA from 1 species